GUAUAAUGAGUUAGUACAUACAAUAAAAUUGGAACGAUACAGAGAAGAUUAGCAUGGCUCUCGCGCAGAGAUGACACGCAGAAUCGUAAAAAUUUUUUAGAGUUUU